UUAGUAAUUAAUUAUUAUUAUUAUUAUUAUAUAAAUUUUGAAGUAAAAAAAAACUAAGUGAAUAUGCAAAAUCUAAUUACAUCAAUUAGGAUAAUGAGAAUUAGCUGAUCAUCCAUAAUGUAAGCUACAUACAUAUUAUAUAACAUUUUCCACAGUGCAAUGUCAAAACAUGAACAGAGCUACAAAUAUUGCAAGUUUUUUACACUUUUAAUCUUAAUAGUCAUUCCACUUGGAGUACUAAUUAUUUUCCAUAAUGAAAUUAAUAAAUAAACAUAUAACCACAAAUCAUAGAAGAAAUCAAUGAAAUAAAUUUUGAAAUUAUUCAUAGCUACAGAUUCACUAGAAAGUUAUCUAAUCGUCAUAUCUCUGCAUAAAAAUGCCAAGUAAAAAAGAAUAAAUUAGUAGUUUACUACAGCGACACUCAAGUAUAUUUACACAACAUCAUAACAAAAUCUAGAAGAUGAUUCAAACCAAACAACAUCAAUAAAACACAUUAGACUAAAAACUCAUGCUUUCAAACUACAAAUCACAGCAGCAGCAGGUGAUCAAUACACGCAAUACAGCAAAAUAUAAUCUAACCGAAAAAAAACAUAAUGUAAUGAACAGAUCAACAUAGAAAAAACUUCGACGAGUUUAAAUUAUUACCAACAGGAAUGAGAAUAUCUAAUGCUUUUGAGGUGUGACAUAAUCUGAACUGAAAAUGGAUCGGAUUGAAAAUGGAAUAAGGACCCUGCGGUUGUGUUAAAUAUUGUCGUUACGUCGUGAAAUGUUGUUGCAAAGACGAGUUUGAAAAACAUCGACGAGUUUAAAUUAUUACCAACAGGAAUGAGAAUAUCUAAUGCUUUUGAGGUGUGACAUAAUCUGAACUGAAAAUGGAUCGGAUUGAAAAUGGAAUAAGGACCCUGCGGUUGUGUUAAAUAUUGUCGUUACCGUCGUGAAAUGUUGUUGCAAAGACGAGUUUGAAAAUGUUGAUGUUGUUCUCGUUCAAAUUAGAGCAGCCGGUUAUUAUUGUUAUUGAUGGUCGUUGCUCUAGCCGGAACCGGUGUGAUUGAGUCAGCGGUGGUGGUGACGUUGGCGAUGUCGUGGCCAGAUCUGAAGCGGGUUUGGAAAUAUUGCUGCUAAUGUUGGAAAUGUUGGCGGAACUCGCGGGACUAGAAACUCGUCAGAACAACUAACAAUCAUGAGUUUUGGUGGAGGUUUGGAGAAUGAUAAAGCUGAGCAUGGAACAAAUCUGCAGCAAUCUGCAAUGUGUCAUGAACGCCCCCAGUUCACUACUCUUUCUCAUCUCUUUACAUACUCAUUGUAAACCAUAUGAACAUGACCAAUAUGCAUAUCUGAUCCAAACUUGAGUUGCUUGAACCACUUUUUCUCAUAAGAUUUUGUGGAGGUUUAGUUUUCACAUGGAGGGUGGAUAAAUAUGCAUGGAUGAAGGGUGAAAUGGUGGUUAACAGAGUCUUGUGGACGAUGGCCAGAAGUUUGAGGAGGGUGUUCGAUUUGUGAUGGAGUGGUGUGGACGAAGACGGUGGUGGUCGUAGUGAGAUUUCUUGUUGGAGGAGAUUGUACUGAGAGUGCGAAGGAAAAAUGAGACGUGGAUUUUGCGGUGGUGUAAAGGAAGAAGAUUCCAAUUCCCUUUUUCUUUUCUCCGUUCCUUUUUGUAGCAGGGAAUUCUUGAAUGGAGAGAGGUUUGUCUGUGCUCCUUUCUCCACUUUUAUUUUCUUCCUUUUUUUUCUUUUCCCGAGAGUGAGAGAGACUAACGUGUGAGAGAGUGUAGUUUGUGGG
rnacentral:lncRNA from 1 species